rnacentral:rRNA from 1 species
GACGAACGCCGGCGGCGUGCUUAACACAUGCAAGUCGAACGGAAAGGCCCUGCUUUUGCGGGGUGCUCGAGUGGCGAACGGGUGAGUAACACGUGAGUAACCUGCCCUUGACUUUGGGAUAACUUCAGGAAACUGGGGCUAAUACCGGAUAGGAGCUCCUGCUGCAUGGUGGGGGUUGGAAAGUUUCGGCGGUUGGGGAUGGACUCGCGGCUUAUCAGCUUGUUGGUGGGGUAGUGGCUUACCAAGGCUUUGACGGGUAGCCGGCCUGAGAGGGUGACCGGCCACAUUGGGACUGAGAUACGGCCCAGACUCCUACGGGAGGCAGCAGUGGGGAAUAUUGCACAAUGGGCGGAAGCCUGAUGCAGCAACGCCGCGUGCGGGAUGACGGCCUUCGGGUUGUAAACCGCUUUCGCCUGUGACGAAGCGUGAGUGACGGUAAUGGGUAAAGAAGCACCGGCUAACUACGUGCCAGCAGCCGCGGUGAUACGUAGGGUGCGAGCGUUGUCCGGAUUUAUUGGGCGUAAGGGCUCGUAGGUGGUUGAUCGCGUCGGAAGUGUAAUCUUGGGGCUUAACCCUGAGCGUGCUUUCGAUACGGGUUGACUUGAGGAAGGUAGGGGAGGAUGGAAUUCCUGGUGGAGCGGUGGAAUGCGCAGAUAUCAGGAGGAACACCAGUGGCGAAGGCGGUUCUCUGGGCCUUUCCUGACGCUGAGGAGCGAAAGCGUGGGGAGCGAACAGGCUUAGAUACCCUGGUAGUCCACGCUGUAAACGGUGGGUACUAGGUGUGGGGUCCAUUCCACGGGUUCCGUGCCGUAGCUAACGCUUUAAGUACCCCGCCUGGGGAGUACGGCCGCAAGGCUAAAACUCAAAGGAAUUGACGGGGCCCCGCACAAGCGGCGGAGCAUGCGGAUUAAUUCGAUGCAACGCGUAGAACCUUACCUGGGUUUGACAUGGAUCGGGAGUGCUCAGAGAUGGGUGUGCCUCUUUUGGGGUCGGUUCACAGGUGGUGCAUGGCUGUCGUCAGCUCGUGUCGUGAGAUGUUGGGUUAAGUCCCGCAACGAGCGCAACCCUUGUUCACUGUUGCCAGCACGUUAUGGUGGGGACUCAGUGGAGACCGCCGGGGUCAACUCGGAGGAAGGUGGGGAUGACGUCAAGUCAUCAUGCCCCUUAUGUCCAGGGCUUCACGCAUGCUACAAUGGCUGGUACAGAGAGUGGCGAGCCUGUGAGGGUGAGCGAAUCUCGGAAAGCCGGUCUCAGUUCGGAUUGGGGUCUGCAACUCGACCUCAUGAAGUCGGAGUCGCUAGUAAUCGCAGAUCAGCAACGCUGCGGUGAAUACGUUCCCGGGGCU